ensembl:lncRNA
CCUGUGUCUGGUUCUCUCUUUUGAUGAUUCCCUUCCCACUCCAGGCCUCCAUUUAUUUCCUUCAAUAUAGCCAGACGUUAUUCUAACCCUGGGGUGGGGGUUGGGGAGAGUAAACGGGAUCCCCGGCUCUCAUUUUUGGUGCAUGUGGAUGUUUGGUAUCAUGGGGAUACAGUCAGGAGCAAGCGUUGAUUCAGAGGUGAGGAGGAUGAGGUUUGGAGACAGGAGCUAGUUUCAGACACAGAGCGUUAUCAUCAGACGGGCAGUAGGGGUCUGAGGGAGGCGGGCAGAGGGUCGAGGCCUAAAACCAGGCUAAGAACUUGGCUUUUUAUCCGGAGAAAGGCAGAAAUAUGAGGGACUUUUGUUUAUAAUAUUCUUAUAGUUAAUAUUGUUAAAUGGCAUGAACUAAUUCAGGUUUGGGGGUGGAGUGCUUGCUUAGCAUAUGGAGUCAUGAUUUCUACCCGCAGCACCCAAUAAACAGGACCUGGUGGUACAUGGCUAUCAUCCAAGCACUGGGCGGGGGGUGGGUAGAGACAGGAAGAUCAGAAGUUCAAGGCCAUCUUGGCUACAUAGCAAGUUUGAGGGUAGCUCAUGCUGUAGGAGGAUCCUGACUCAAACAACAGCAAAUCUAACUCACUCUAAUAUAAAAAUCAAACGAGGGCCAGGAGGGUUUCUUCUAAUAACUCUGUGUGUGUGUGUGUGUGUGUGUGUGUGUGUGUAGUAUGUGUGUUGUGUGUGUGGUGUCUGUGUCUUUGUGUGUUUGAGUGUGUGUGUGUAGAGUAUAUGUGUUGUGUGUUGUAUGUGUGUGGUGUGUGUGUAUGUGUGUGAGUGUGUAUGUGUGUGGGUGUGUGUGUAUAGAGUAUGUGUGUUGUGUGUAUGUGUGUGGUGUGUGUAUGUCUGUGUGUGUAGUGUGUGUAUGUGUGUGGGUGUAGAGUAUGUGUGUUGUGUGUGUGUGUGUAUGUGUGUGUAGAGUAUGUGUGUUGUGUGUGUGUGUGUAUGUGUGUUGUGUGUGUGUGUGUGUGUGUGUAGAGUAUGUGUGUUGUGUGUAUGUGUGUGGUGUGUGUGUCUGUGUUGUGUGUAUGUGUGUGUGUGUAGAGUAUGUGUGUUGUGUGUAUGUGUGUGGUGUGUGUGUCUGUGUGUGUAGUGUGUGUAUGUGUGUGGUGUAUGUGUGUAGUGUGUGUAGUGUGUGUAUGUGUGUGGGUGUAGAGUAUGUGUGUUGUGUGUUGUGUAUGUGGUGUGUGUAUGGUACUGGAGCGAGGUAAUGCUUCAUCACUGCGCCGCACCCCUGCCCAGAAGAGCCGGGAAGGAUCACUCAGAGUAAACAGCUUUCAAAGCCUCUCCUCAGAUGGAAGCUUUUGCUCACAAGCCUUUUGGGUGUGUCCCUCCAGGACUCUUUCUAUGCUCGCACAAACAGCUCUUAUUUUCCUUCACACAAGCAAACCUAUCCGUGAACAUACUGCUGUAUGAGAACCCUGGCCCUUCCACUCCCGCACAUACCAGCCUCCUGCUCUCAGGUCUCUCAGGAGCCCAUUAAUGCCACCUGCCUUCACAGGACAUCCUGAGUGCCCAGGAUGGAGCAGGGGACAAAACACGGGCCUUGUUCUGGAGGUCUUCCCCUUCCUCCCGGUAUCUGACCAUUAUACACAGCGUGCAGGGCUGUCUUUUUUUUUUUUUUGUAGGCAGGGUCUCACUCUGUAGCAGGCUUAGAAAACAUUCUGGAAGCCCGGCUGGUUUGUGUAUGUACCUUUCCAUACACAGUGACAGAAUACAGUGGGGUCAUUUGUGAAGAGGAAUUUUGAGAGCUGGGUGUUGUGACACAUGCUUAUAAUCCCAGCACUUGGGGCUGGG